UGAGAAUUUUCUGGAUUGCUUGACUUUCUC
rnacentral:piRNA from 2 species